GGGAAAGCCACUAGAAUGGUGGGUAAUACUGUAUAAUCCCCGCGGGGGAAAGAUUUAUCGCUAUUGGAUGAGCCUAUGUUAGAUUAGCUAGUUGGUGGGGUAAUGGCCUACCAAGGCUGUGAUCUAUAGCUGGUCUGAGAGGAUGAUCAGCCACACUGGAACUGAGAUACGGUCCAGACUCCUAUGGGAGGCAGCAGUGGGGAAUAUUGGACAAUGGGCGCAAGCCUGAUCCAGCUAUGCCGCGUGAGUGAGGAAGGCCUUAGGGUUGUAAAACUCUUUCAGUAGGGAAGAUAAUGACGGUACCUACAGAAGAAGUCCCGGCAAACUCCGUGCCAGCAGCCGCGGUAAUACGGAGGGGGCAAGCGUUGUUCGGAAUUAUUGGGCGUAAAGGGCAUGUAGGCGGUUUGGUAAGUUAAAAGUGAAAUGCCAGGGCUCAACCUUGGAGCUGCUUUUAAUACUGCCAGACAA
rnacentral:rRNA from 1 species